AGAAGACCAAAAGCUGCUAAGGCAGAUAUUUCCAGAGGUACUAACCGAGCGGAUGGAUGCAUGAUGGCCUCUUUCAGUUUUGUCAACUGAACGUCUACUAGUGAGGCUCAGCAAGUUCUUGUCAUGAUCAGCCCUCUCCAAGAAAGCUGAAGAGCAAAAGCACAAACAACAUCAGUCCUGUUGGGGAUGAGGAAUGAACAUGGCUCUAUUGUGCCCAAACAGAAAAGAGUGAAAAGACUAAAGAGAAGCGGGUCUGAGGCCAGAGAUGGAGGAGUCAAUGGUCACCAAAUGCAGCGCUGCAGCCUGAAACUGAGAAGACUGGAUUCCCAAACAGCUCUGUGACCGCACAGAUGUUACGGCCAUAAAAGAAACUUCACAACUGAGAGCCCAUACCUCCAACAACCUUCAACAGGAAUCAAUGGACAUCUACGCAAGGUUUUUCUUUUGUUGAGGACCGUCAGAGACUCCAGCCACACGAGCCAUGGAUUGCUCUCACUGUUACCAUCAGACAGACAUUAUCACAGAACCAGCACCAGCAGACUGCAAGACAAGUUCCUUCCACAGGCAAUCAGACUGAACUGAACUCGUACCAGUAACACCACACACACACACACACACACACACACACACACACACACACACACACACACACACACACACACACUCACACACACACACUCACACACCAGCAGCCUCAUACUGUAUGCACUGCACUCUAUCAGCUACACUGACCGGACUCUCUCUCACUAUUAUUCUGCAGCCUGAUAUUCUGUUUGCACUAAUUCAUACUGUACUGAAAG